rnacentral:hammerhead_ribozyme from 1 species
AGCCGAAACCCUCCCCGCCUGUGGAGGGUACACCGGGGGCGUCCUCCCCGGUGCUGACGAUGGCAGGACACA